rnacentral:misc_RNA from 1 species
AAGUCGUAACAAGGUUUCCGUAGGUGAACCUGCGGAAGGAUCAUUAACAAAUCGUGUCUUCCUUCUGGGAAGAUAUAAGUGCUUCCCCUUUUGGGGAGUGUACACACGCUUUAAUUGUAUAAUUGUAAACUGUCACUAAAUUAUAAAACACUUUUAACAAUGGAUCUCUAGGCUCUU